rfam:Loxodonta africana unplaced genomic scaffold scaffold_4, whole genome shotgun sequence.
GCAGUGGUGGUUCAGGGGUAGAAUUCUUGCCUUCUAUGCAGGUGACCUGGGUUCAAUUCCUAGCCAGUGUA